rnacentral:tRNA from 1 species
GCCUUCGUGGUAUAACGGUAGCACACUCGGCGUGCAUUCGAGAGAUCCAGGUUCGAGUCCUGGCGAGGGCA